UUUUUCUUUUUUUUUAAUUUACAGUCACAAACUAGGAAUAAAGCUUAGUAAGUUAUAUAUCAAUGUUUGCAGUGUUCACUCUGGGCAGUAGGAUAAUAAGCUUUACUCUUUUUACCUACAUUUUCCAAAAUUUCUAUGGCAGGCCCUUUGCUUUAUAAAUAAAAUUACAAACUGUAUCAACAAUUUACUCUGGAACAUUCACUUAUUUACACCAGCUAUGUGUUAAGCUUUGCUAGGCAUUCCUACGUAUUUGUAAUUUAUACGAAAAUAAAUAAAACAAAACUCUCAAACAGCCCAUAAUCCACUAGGAGAGAGAUAAAAAAAACAGAGUUGGGGUGUUCAAUGUGGUGAGUGUCUCAGGAGCACAGGGGAGGGCAUAACUAACUCCAGAGGAUAAGGUGGGUGUUAGGAAAAGUUGAACAGAGAUGAAUCAGUGAGCAAGGCUUACAGGGUUAAUCAGGUAAAAGCACCCAGGCAGAACAUGCCCCUCUGACUUCAGAAUUUCUUGAGAUAGUUUUCUCAGCAUGUUUAAGAUGAUCAUGUCAUGAAAAUAAGGGAGAAAAAUACUGUUUUUUUGUGAUGACUAGAGAUUUUCCUGCAUCACAUUCAUAGAUCACAAUCCUCAGCCUCUUGAGAGACUAAAAGAACCAUCAGAGAAACCCCAACUCCAGUUCACAAGGCUCAAUGGAGAUAAUCAGCCUCCCAACUAAUUCCAUCUCUCUGGGACCAUGUGGAGCAGACCUUAAAGCAAUCCAUCACCUGAUUCCCUGUCUCUCUCACCUCUGCCUGGUUAGGACCACAGCACACUGUUGCAAUCGCCUUGAAUCUUCCAACAGCCUAUAAAACCUGGCUGUUUGCUUUACUUUUUGUGAGGGUAGGCAGUAGAGACAAAGGGCAAAAAGUUCCCCUAUUAGAACUCUUUAUGUUUAUUUUGUAACCUUUUGAACAAACACCUGUGCCUCAAGUCACAUGAAAAGAAAAGGUAGAGAAGUGAAAACGCUGCUUCCCUUCAACCUCAUAAAAAGAAACACUCAAAUUGGGACUUUCUUUCCUUCAAAGCACCAUCCUCCCACUCUACAUGGUCCCAGAUGCCAUCAUGUUGUUUUGGAAUGAGCACUGAGACUAUUCCUGACCAUGCCAGUAGAGUCUCCAUGGCGUCAUCAGGGCCAAGGGUCAAGGUACUUCAGCCACAUUUUUGGCAUGGCCAAGUAAACUGAUGCAUCUCCAGAAGGCCUUCACUGAGUGCCAAGAAUAUCACCAGUCCAGUGGCUGCACAUACACUACUACUCCAAGAAAAGCAGGUGCUCUGUAAAUGCUCAAAAACUUGAAGAUUCCCACAUAACACAAAUAAGCCAUGAAUGUCUGGAUAAAACCACUGUCUGGGUCCAACAGCUUCAGCCAGAAAGUGAGCAAUUCCAUAAUUCUAUUAUAAAGUUCAGCGUUUUUCUCCUCUAGUAAUUAGCUUCAUCAAACCAUUUCAUGUAUAAGUUGUAGUCUCCUAGGAUCAUUUAAACAUUUUGUUCUAAAAUUUAAAAAUAACCUAUUUCUGAUUAUCACCACUCAUUGCUAUCAUUGGAAAACGUUAUUAGUAAAGGACUAGGAGUAACUUCCUUGGCUGGUAUCAACAAAAUAGUAUGCUCUCAGAGUUGUUUAUAACAGAAGUAAAACUUAAAAUUAGGUAAUGUUGAUGAUUUAGUAGCCCCUGUGUUGCAAAUAUUAAUAGACGUUGAAGCUCACAAUGUAACCUUUGAGGAUACAUAAAAAAUACAUGAUAAAAGUGCAAGUCCUGGCAUUGUAUUUCCCCACAGGCCACCAUCAGCAUUUGGGGGGCAUCAAAUCUUUAUGGCUUUUGGUCACAGGAAAAUAGGAAGAGUGAUUUUACUUAAUCUUAAAAAGGCAUCUAGGAGUUCCCACUGUGGUGCAGUGGAAAGGAACCUGACUAGUAUCCAUGAGGACGUGGGUUCAAUCCCUGGCCUCGCUCAUGGGUUAAGGAUCCGGCUGUUGCCGUAAGCUGUGGUGUAGGUUGCAGACAUGGCUGGGAUCCCACAUUGCUGUGGCUCUGGUGUAGGCCAGUGGCUACAGCUCCGAUUAGACCCCCUAGCCUGGGAACCUCCAUAUGUUGCAGGAGUAGCCCUAGAAAAGCCAAAAAAAAAGGCAGAAAAAAAAUAAAAUAAAAUAUAUCACUUGUGGGUAGAGUUAUUUGAUAGAGCUACUAUUUUUAAUUGGAUAAAUUUUAUUCUCUUCUGAAGUGGAAUGGAAUUGAGAAAGCCUAUAAUUUGCAAUGUUUAUAUUUGGCAAAAUUUCAAAAACAUCAUAAACAGAGACAACUUAUUUGAUGAGUUUUGUCUUAUAAAAAAAUGUUGAAGAAAGGUACAUUGGAUAGAAGAAGAAAACAGCUGGAGAUGUUUACACAUUUUAAUAUGAAAAAAAUUGAAUUGGGAAUAUCAUCCAUUUAGCAUAAUUUGUUUUGAACAUUUCUCGGUGCCUGCAGGGAUAGUAUUUUCUCAAUUAAAAAAAGAGAGAAGAGUUCAUUGGAGUUAUCAAGCAUUCUAAUCUACAUACCAUAAAACAGAACUUUAAACAUUGCUAUUUUAUUAAAACAUUAAAAGCAAGAUUAUAUUGAAAACUAUAUUCUCAAAAAAAUGCUAAUGGCUUGGUAUUCGAGACAACCAUAAACAAGCAGAUUAAAAUAUGUGGCUAUAGCAGGAAUAAUUUUU
rnacentral:lncRNA from 1 species